UACGAGGGGGGCUAGUGUUGUUCGGAAUCACUGGGCGUAAAGGGAGCGUAGGUGGCCUUAUAAGUCAGUGGUGAAAUCCUGUUGCUUAACAGCAGAAUUGCCAUUGAUACUGUAGGGCUUGAGUAUAGUUGCCGUUGGCGGAAUAUGACAUGUAGUGGUGAAAUACAUAGAGAUGUCAUAGAACACCGAUUGCGAAGGCAGCUAACGAAACUAUAACUGACACUGAGGCUCGAAAGUGCGGGGAUCAAACAGG
rnacentral:rRNA from 1 species